rnacentral:ncRNA from 2 species
UUAUCUUUGCCGCGAUUUGGUUCAUCGCCUGUAUCCAACAGAUGGUGAUUAAAAGGGAAUCGGGUGUAAAUCCCGGACAGUCCCGCUGCUGUGAAACUCUAUGCAAUAUCUUAUGAAUAAACUAAUAACACGUCACUGAUGCAGAAUCGGGAAGACACAUAAGAUAGGAGUCAGUCAGAAGACCUGCCAAUUCAAGUUAGACGUU